GAUGAACGCUGGCGGCGUGCCUAAUACAUGCAAGUCGAGCGAACAGACGAGGAGCUUGCUCCUCUAACGUUAGCGGCGGACGGGUGAGUAACACGUGGAUAACCUACCUAUAAGACUGGGAUAACUUCGGGAAACCGGGGCUAAUACCGGAUAAUAUAUUGAACCGCAUGGUUCAAUAGUGAAAGACGGUUUUGCUGUCACUUAUAGAUGGAUCCGCGCCGCAUUAGCUAGUUGGUAAGGUAACGGCUUACCAAGGCAACGAUGCGUAGCCGACCUGAGAGGGUGAUCGGCCACACUGGAACUGAGACACGGUCCAGACUCCUACGGGAGGCAGCAGUAGGGAAUCUUCCGCAAUGGGCGAAAGCCUGACGGAGCAACGCCGCGUGAGUGAUGAAGGUCUUCGGAUCGUAAAACUCUGUUAUUAGGGAAGAACAAAUGUGUAAGUAACUAUGCACGUCUUGACGGUACCUAAUCAGAAAGCCACGGCUAACUACGUG
rnacentral:rRNA from 1 species